rnacentral:lncRNA from 1 species
AGUUCAUAACGAUUAGGUGAAAUUCACUUAUAUUCUAGCAUCAAAUUCAUGCAUGUAAAUUAAGCGUGCACUCUCAACCAACAUACACAAAUCAGUUUUUAUACGAACGGAUAAGUAAAUUGAAUUCACAACUUAUAAAUCACAACUGAAGGUAAUCAAUUCAUAUUACAAAUAUAAUCAUGGUUUCGAAUUAACCUCUAACCAACAUAAAUUUAAUUACACAUUAUUAAAAACAGAAAUAAAAGAGAAGUUUGGAAAAAUUAAACCGAAAGUAAAACAUAAGUUGGAAAGAUUUAACCGAGAGAGAGAAGGCUUGCAGCUUCUGUCCACCUGACGUUGUCUCUGUCCUCCUCCCAUCCGCGCUACUCUCUCCUCCCGUCCGCGCAAGCUUUCUGUUUUCAAGGCUGCAAGGGCAGCUUUUUCUUCUCUGACCCUCUCUUGGCUGUCCCGUAUAUAUUCCUCUGCAUGCCUUCCAAUCCCGUGCCUGCUGUCCUUUCCCACGCUGGUUCUCAAAACUCUCACGCUGCCCAAAAGGGCAGCUCCCUGUGCUCACCCUGUCCCUUGCGUCUCUGCGAGCUGCCCAAAGGCAGCUCCCCCUUUUUCUUCUCCUUGGUGUGCUGCAAGGCAGCUUUCUUUUAUUCUUUUCUUUCUGGCAGCCUUGCUGCCUUUUUCCCUUGGAUCCGUAGCUGUCUCCCACUAUUUAUUUCUGUUUUCUUUCUUUUCUGCCUUUCAACCCCGUGAGUCUCUCACUUUCCUCCUAUUUUUAUUCCAUUGUUAUGCCUUUCUUCCUGCCACAAAACAUGAAUCAUGAUGAUGUUUCAAACAUCAUCAUGAUUUAUCAUUAUUAUUAUUUUUUUAAUUAAUUUUAUUUAAAAGCUGAUCUACACAGACAGUUUGACGAAUUUAUUACAUAAAAUUUCACUUGUUCUAUUUUUAUUUUCUUUGCAUAACAAAUCCUAUAAACACAAAAAUAACGUAAAUAGCUCAAAAAUAAAAGAAACUAACUAAGAAAAGACGAGUGAAUUCGAAGUAAAAAUAUAUAUAAAUAUGAUCCGAUCAAAUACCCCCACACUUAACUUUUGCUAGUCCUCGAGCAAAACAAAGAAAAUAAGAACAAGAAGUAACAAGAAAAACAUUAGCUUCCCUCUAUGUGACCCUCAUAGAAUUUCAUUCAAGAAAACAAAUCAUCAAGAACCAUAGCUAGCAUCAAGGAACUAAUCCAAGUUCAUCUUCCUUAUUCAAAUAUUAGCAGUAAUCUUUAAAUCAUCCUUGAAGUGUAGUGUGUGAGAUAGCCAUGCUAAUGCAAUUUCAAGUUUUUAUUUUUAAAAUCAUCAUAUGCAAACUAGCGACCUUCUCACGGGAUAUGCACUGAAUCACACAUGUGUUUAGUUUUAAUGUGUUUUGCUCAAAGAAUCAAAUGUGAAAUUUCUACCAUAAGCUUGCAUAAAGAUCUCAUCUCCACAAUCAUAAUUGCAAAACUUAAAUCAAGAGGACUUUUAUUGGAUGUAAUGAGGCUUAGGGAUAGGGUUAUUGAAACGAAAGAAUAGGAAAACACAAGUUCCAAGCUACAUUGCAAGCAAUUCUUUUGUUUAGAUUUAUAAGAACUCAAUCUUUCCAACGAUUCUUCUGAAACCUCCAAUCACACCCUUAAACUGAAACUUUAAAAACAUUAUUUUUUUUUUCUUUUCUUCGUAUACAAUCUUUCUUUUUCUUUCUUUUUUUUUUUUUUUUUUUUUUUUUUUUUUUUUUUAAUACAAACAUGAAAUACCCCCACACUUAUUUUUUUUUGCCAAACACCUUCAAAGUACUUUACAAACAUUUCUCAUAAGACAAUCUCACAUUGCUCGCUUGGAAAGGGUAAGGAAAAAUGUUUCAGGUAUAAGGGUAGACAUAUCUGGUGAUAAGAAAUAAAAGGCUCAACAUACACGGCUCAAAUUGGCAAUCUAAUGAUAUCAAUUUUCUUUGGGAAACAUGGUUCUUUGGGCCAUAGUGGUAAACCUAAUGCCUCUAUCAUUUCCAAGUUCAUGCAAUCGAUGACAAACAUUUCGAAAGAUCGUUACGCAAGUUCUAGAGAUGUAUCUCACAUAAGUUCAUCACACAUGAAAGAAUAGGAGUGUAUGAAAAAUGCACACACUUUCAAUCGGCUCAAAAACUCACAUAGGAUGUAUAUAUGGUCACUAAAUUCACAUAUGAAGCUUUAAGUCAUACUUUAGUUUCACAUUAACAAGGCUAUGUGCAUUUGGUUUUUCAAAGAUGAUCAAACAUGUACAAAACUAACAAGAGAAUUAGGAAUUUCACAAAACACAUGUUAACUAAGUUCUUGAUGAUCAUGGUUCAAAUUUGAUCCAAUUAUAUCAUUGGGUCGGGAAACUAACAAAAAUCUAAUUCAAAACAAUAAGGGAAACAAGACAAUAUUUUUAGAUUUUUAAAUUUUCCGAUUUUUUAUUUAAAUUUUUUUUUUUUUUUUUUUUUUUUUUUUUUUUAAAAAGAAAACAAAACUAAUUAAGAACACAAAAAACAGCAACACAGAAACAAAUGAAAUUCUGGAGAUUUCUACCCCCACACUUAAACUGGACAUUGUCCCCAAUGUCAGAAAACACUAUAAUGCAAAUAAAAAAAUAAAAUAAAAUAAAUAAAUAAUAAGAAACAAAAUAACGCAAUUGGACUGAAAACUUCCCUAAUUUGCAGUAAAAUCAAGCGAUGACCCCCAAGCUAAAAUUCUGCAAUCAACUUCAAGGGUGGAAAUAACCAAAAGUUCCUGCAAAGAAAAGGAAAAAUUCAGUUAAGUACGCAAGAAAAUUAAUUAAAAAAAAUUGCAAACGAAAAAUUGAAAAUUACGAUAAAAGAUAAUGAAUAAAACUAAUAAAUAAUCAUUGGUCGUGCUUGUUGACUUUCCACAGCUUUCCUCUUGAACAGGGUGACACUUAGCUUUUCACUUGCAAGUGAUGAUUUUAUGAUAUUGUACGGCGAAGCUUUGCUCUUUGGUUAUGUUGCAGUUCCUUAUUUGUUCUCCAAGCAGAUGUGGCAGCUUCUCUAGUUCCUCAGUUCGGACUCCUUCCGCUGGGAUGAUUGUGCAAGCUGCAUUCUUCUCUGCUUGUUUCUCUUCUGCACAACGGGCAGGCACGAGGGAAAGGUGUUGGUCCUUAUUUCUUUCUUCAAUCUUUCCAAGUGCCCACCUCUUGCUUUCUUUCUCCUUGUCCCUAGCUGAAUUGUCUCCACAUGCUUCGAGGUCUCAUUUUCACCUCCCUUACUUGUCCCCCAAGUAGAUGUGGUAGACAAAACGGAAGCAUAAGAUGAAGAAGAUGAGUACUCGAGAGCAAGGCUAGGUAAGCAAUCAGGAAAGGGUUCCAGGCAGUUGGCUCCAGAUUGGAAGAUUGAUACCAAAUGCUGGCUGAUUGCUCUCUUUCUCCUUGUCGGAAAACAAAGACAAGGAGAAAGGACAUGGAGAAAGCAUGAUAUGAGAUACUCUUGCUUUCAACCUUUAUGAUAUGAAAUACUUUUGCUUUGAAUGGGUUGUUCGCUGGAGUAUCCCAAGGAAUGAGGAACACAGAGUGACUCGAGAGGAUUCUUUGGGAAUGCAUUUUCGGAGAUGAAGAGGUGUUGAGAGGGUGUGCUGAGAGAGUGUGCUUUUGCUGUGGAAGGCGAAGGUAGAAACUUAUAGGACUUGUCUUCACAACCGGAACUGUUCUCUCACUCAUUGUCGGCAGCCGGUGGAUGGGUGAAGAAUACAAAUUACGCGCUUUCUGACAAAGCUGCCCGUAAUUUCCGCAAAGCUGAUUCCUCAUUGAUAUCUGUAAUCGGCGCUUCGAGCUCUGAGCAUCGUCGAUUGUAGAGGUAGCAUGUGACACGUGCGGAUAAAUCUGGAAAAAGAAGAUUUUCCCGUGUGGGUUGAAGCCCAGCUUUUGAGAAAGCUAGCGUGUCUUUGACUGUUGAAUUUCCCUCUUCGAUUUCUGAAUUGGUGCUUCGACAAAUUGCCCGAGAUUUCCGCAAAGCAAUUUGCGUGUGACAAGUGACGACACGUCUGGACAAAUUGAUCUUUUGAAAUCCGGGGUUCGGCUCGUGGUUUCUGAGCAAGCCCAGCCUUUAAGAAAUGAAACGCCUCUUUUGAGAAAAGAAUCCGGCUUUUGAGAAAGGAAACUCCUCUUUUGAGAAAAGAAUCAGACGUUUGAGAACGGAGCCCCGACUCUUCGAUUUGCGAGAGGACGCUUCUCUGAGGAGCGCCUCUUUGAUUUCUUCCUUUUUAUAGAGACGUUAAGCUUGUUCCACAACACACUUGAGUACCCUCCUGUAAACACUCCCUUCUUGCACUUGUUUAAUCUUGAUCAUUCCGACUCUCUUCUUUCUUUACCACCUCUGAAAAAUGUCUGGCCCUUCUGAUCGUCGUUUUGACUUGAACAUUGGUGAAGAGGCAGCUCCGCCUUCACCAGACAACAUAUGGCGGCCAUCCUUCAUAUCCCCUACCGGUCCCCUUACCGUGGGGGAUUCGAUGAUGAAAAAUGACAUGACCGCUGCGGUGGUGGCCCGAAACCUUGUCACUCCCAGAGAUAACAGACUGCUCGCAAGGCGGUCUGAUGAAUUGGCGGUCAAGGAGUCUCUGGCUCUCAGUGUGCAGUGUGCGGGUUCCGUAUCCAACAUGGCCCAACGCCUAUAUGCCCGAACCCGUCACGUUGAAUCCUUGGUGGCUGAAAUACAGAGUCUCAAGCAAGAGAUUAAAGGGCUCAAGCAUGAGAAUAAGGAAUUGCACAAGCUCGCACACAGCUAUGCCACCAGCAUGAAGAGGAAGAUUGACCAGAUGCAGGACACCGAUGGUCAAAUUUUACUUGAUCAUCGGAGGUUUGUGGGUUUGUUCCAACCGCAUCUGCCUUCGUCUUCUGGGGCGGCACCGCGUAGUGAAGCUCCAACUGAUCAACCUCUGCCGCCUCCUCCUUCUGUGGCCCCGCCGACUGCUGAAGCCCCGCCUACUACUGAAGCACCACCCGACCAAUGAAUACUAUUAGUUUACAUCAUUGUAAAAUAUUUGUACUUUUUUUUUUUUUUUUUUUAAUUUUUUUUUUUUUUUUUUUUUUUUUUUUUUUUUUUUUUUUUAUGUAAAUUAAUGUAAAGAGACUUUGGUUAAUCUUCCCCCACACUUAAACUAAAUAACACAAACUCACAGAAAUCAACCAAAUAACACAACUAACUAAACAAAACAAAAUGAAAGCAGUAAAGAUAAGGGUGGAAGAAUGCAAAGCUGAUUGGGUUAGUGAUUCCAAAGUCUCCCUUCGUUGAAUGCUUGGGUUGCCUCCCAAGAAGCGCUUGAUUUAACGUCUUUAGCCGGACGCAUCUUUCCUUUAAAUUUCUCUCGGCUCCAUUUGAACCUAAAAUCAAAGAAAGAAAAAUAAAUCAAAAUAUCAAAAGUAAAAUACACAAAACACCAAUAUAAACAUAAACAAAAACAAAAAUAAAAGGAUUAGCAAAGUUACUAAUCCCCGGCAACGGCGCCAAAAUUUGAUGCGUGAAUUACUUAACACACAAAUUAAACCCUCUUGUUGACAAUUGUAGUAUAGAUGUAAGUAGGGUAUCGUUCUAGGCCGGGGAUUAGGAGGGAUUGCUAAUCUAUUCUAAAUUAAUUUAAAAAUAUUAAACAAGACUCAAGGACACAAAACUAGGCUAAAAACUCUAAUAACUCGAAACACACUUAAAAUGACUCAAAAUAAUGAAAACAAUUAAAUUAAACACUAGGAACUGAAAUGGACGGAAAUUAAAUUAAAAGACUAACAAUAAAGAAAACUAAAUAAAUAAUAUAAUUUAAUAAUGGAUGGGUGUUUGGUUUUGAUGAAAAAUAAAUUAAACUUAAUUAAAUUACAGAAUUGACAAAAACAUGAAAUUAAGGUGAAAUGAUAAAUGACGGACUAGCUAGAGGGUUCUUCUCCACACAUGUUAUACUUGCAUACAAAAUGAUUUCCAGUUGUUCUUUUAAUAAAUUGUAAAUUUCAAUACUCCAGAUUAACCGUGAACAGCACUUUUUUAAUCUUCAAGUUUUCCUUAAGUUAUUGAAUUGGACGGGAAAACGCAUACACAAUUCAAAACAUUCUUCAAAAGUCCCCUACGUGAAAAGCACAAUAGAGAUACAAUCAAAGAUCAUUAAACUUUGUGAAAACUAUAAGCAUUGACGAGGCAUUCGUAACUAUGAAAAGCAUGAUACUCUUGCCAAGAAUUUACUUAACGUGAUUGUGACUAGCAACCUUUACUACUUGUGAAAAUAAGUUCAUAACGAUUAGGUGAAAUUCACUUAUAUUCUAGCAUCAAAUUCAUGCAUGUAAAUUAAGCGUGCACUCUCAACCAACAUACACAAAUCAGUUUUUAUACGAACGGAUAAGUAAAUUGAAUUCACAACUUAUAAAUCACAACUGAAGGUAAUCAAUUCAUAUUACAAAUAUAAUCAUGGUUUCGAAUUAACCUCUAACCAACAUAAAUUUAAUUACACAUUAUUAAAAACAGAAAUAAAAGAGAAGUUUGGAAAAAUUAAACCGAAAGUAAAACAUAAGUUGGAAAGAUUUAACCGAGAGAGAGAAGGCUUGCAGCUUCUGUCCACCUGACGUUGUCUCUGUCCUCCUCCCAUCCGCGCUACUCUCUCCUCCCGUCCGCGCAAGCUUUCUGUUUUUCAAGGCUGCAAGGGCAGCUUUUUCUUCUCUGACCCUCUCUUGGCUGUCCCGUAUAUAUUCCUCUGCAUGCCUUCCAAUCCCGUGCCUGCUGUCCUUUCCCACGCUGGUUCUCAAAACUCUCACGCUG